AUGCGUGGCAAAAUGUUUAAGCACGGGAGGCAUCAGGAACCUCAUCCUGUGGUGGAGAUUGCCAAUGCUGAAUGUAGAUUCUGUUAUGUUAUGUACGCUGUUUUAUCUGUAAAGCUUGCCUCUGCAAAUGACUUGCUAGCUUUAGUGAAUGAAUGUGUUUUGCUGACGCUGAUGGUAGAGAAUGACUGGUAUUUAAUAGUAGUACCAAGUUCGCGGAGGGUUGCGGUAGGGUUAGGUGCUUUGUCAUUUCUAUUUAAACAUGUGGUUGAGGUUUCUCUUACUUUUGCGAUGUUGAUGUUUAUGGGUCAUUGGGUAUUUCGGAGAUUCAUAAACCCUUUUACCUAA
rnacentral:rRNA from 1 species